ACAUAGCUGGCAUAAAUCGGGAACAUUGAUAUGUUUGGUUCUCAGCCGAUCACAAGUAGGAAGAGAGGAGGAACAAAGCUGCCAAAAGAAAGUCUUUAGCUUUGGAGGGAGUUUGAAUUUCCAGAAUCUGGUCCAGAUUGGGACUUGGACAGAACUGAAAUCACCUGCAAGAGUAUUAUAGCAACUACGCACAGUGUUGGAUAAGGCCAGCAACUUUAGUGAUUCCAGAUUGAAUGGGUGCAAGGGGCUGAAUGAAUGAUGGAAAUUUCUCUAUACAGGAGAUCUCCUCGGUCCUCUCCUAGUAACCAGGACAGAGCUGGACCAUCUGAUUUACAGUAUUUCUCUGAAUCCUUAAGUAGUUUAGAUGAUGAUCUUGAAAGAGUGAAAACUGGAUUUAGAAAAAAGAAGAAAUGGCAUGCUUCAGAUGAUGAUUUUUCCUCACGUUCAGCUUAGGCCUGCAGACAGUGUAGAGAAGGCUUCUAAAACUGCUGAGAUAAACCCGAGGAAAAUCAAGAUGAGGAGACUAGAAAAGUAAAUCCAAGAGAACUCAACCCAUAUUUGAAGGAUAAACGCUUUAAAGCGAGUUAAAGAGCAAGCUGCUCUCGAAGGACGAAAGUUGGAUGAGGUAGUUGAAGAAUUGUGGGGUUCAUUGAGUCAACUAGCUGUUUCUGUUGCAUCCCGCAAAGUUGCCCCAAACCAUGCUCAUCUUCAUGCCAUCAAAAGUAGAAGGGGUGUAAUGGGAGAGUGAUCUGUUGAGAAGGUAAUUCUCUAAAUUAACUACUUUAGUCACCUUAAUUCUAUGUCAUAUGUGUGUUUUGUCUUAAUGUAUUCUAAUGUUUUAUUGAUUCUUGUUUCUUCCAACUCCCAUACUUCGUAUAAGCAUUGUCCUUAAAAUCUCUAGAUUCAAUUUUUUUUUAAUAAAUAAUUGUUGACUCUGGGUUGUUUGAUUGGAAGUUUUCUAACUUUAAUGACUUUCUAUACUAUGAGGAUUAUUGGGUUUUUGUCUUGUGACCUUAAAAUAGUUGAAUUUUGAUGGGUGUCUAAGUUUUCAAUCUGUAUUAGGCUGGUUUGGUGCACAGCGUUCAUUU